GAUGAACGCUGGCGGCGUGCCUAAUACAUGCAAGUCGAGCGAACAGACGAGGAGCUUGCUCCUCUGACGUUAGCGGCGGACGGGUGAGUAACACGUGGAUAACCUACCUAUAAGACUGGGAUAACUUCGGGAAACCGGAGCUAAUACCGGAUAAUAUAUUGAACCGCAUUGUUCAAUAGUGAAAGACGGUUUUGCUGUCACUUAUAGAUGGAUCCGCGCCGUAUUAGCUAGUUGGUAAGGUAACGGCUUACCAAGGCAACGAUGCGUAGCCGACCUGAGAGGGUGAUCGGCCACACUGGAACUGAGACACGGUCCAGACUCCUACGGGAGGCAGCAGUAGGGAAUCUUCCGCAAUGGGCGAAAGCCUGACGGAGCAACGCCGCGUGAGUGAUGAAGGUCUUCGGAUCGUAAAACUCUGUUAUUAGGGAAGAACAAAUGUGUAAGUAACUAUGCACGUCUUGACGGUACCUAAUCAGAAAGCCACGGCUAACUACGUG
rnacentral:rRNA from 1 species